AUGUCUGCAGGUCGCUCUCAGCACACGGCUACCUCGAGCAUGCGGCGCCGGCAAGAGGCCGAGCGCGCCGUGGCAGAGGAGCGUGAGCGAGCGGCUGUAGCAGCGGCUGCUGCGGCGGCAAGAGUGUCGAGGCUGGCUGCAGCGGAGCUGGCAGCAGCCAGAGCGGAGGUAGAAGCAGCCAGGGCGGAGGUAGAAGCAGCAGCAGCAGCAGAAGCAGCCCGUGAGGCUACGGCGGAUGCCAAGGCACUCCGCGGCAGCCCCGGCAGCUCCAGCAGCUCCGCGCCUGCGGACGACGGCGCCGACGCAGAUCGCGCCAAAGUGGCGCAGGAGCGGACGGCGCAGUGGGCAGCCGAGCACGCCCGCGCUCCAGGUGGAGGCGCGCACCGCGACGGCGGCUGCAACGACCAGGACCGCGGCCUCUACGAGGUCCGGACUGUGGUCAGGGAUGUUGGUUCCAGUGUUGGGUGGCCUACCCUCACUAAAACCAACUACGUCGAGUGGGCCGGGAUCAUGAAGGUCAGGCUCCAGGUGCGGCGCAUGUGGGAGGCAGUCCAGGACAGCAACAUCGACCACCUAGAGGAUCGACGGGCACUGGACGCCCUCAUCGCCGCAGUUCCGCCCGAGAUGCAGUUCUCGCUUUCCAACAAGCGGACUGCCAAGGAGGCUUGGGACGCCAUCGCCGCAGCACGCAUCGGCAGCGACCGUGCUCGCAAGUCCACCCUGCAGGCACUUCGUAAGGAGUGGGAGAACCUGGGCUUCAAGCCAGGUGAGGACGUUGAUGACUUUGCUCUCCGUCUCAACACUCUGCUGCAGAAGAUGGUGAAGUUUGGCGAUGCCACCUACACCGAGGAGAGAGCUGUCGAGAAGCUUUUUCGGUGCAUUCCCGAGAAGUACAAACAGAUGGCUCGCUCGAUCGAGUCGUUGCUGGACCUCUCCACGAUGACGAUCGAGGAGGCGAUAGGUCGACUCAAGGUCGUCGACACCGACGAGCCACAGCCCCCCUCGGGGCCCGUCACCACCGGCGGGAAGCUGCUCCUAACUCGGGAGCAGUGGGAUCCCAGCCUUGGUGACAGGAAGAAGGGGGAGCCUUCCUCCUCGACGGGCGGCCGCAAGCGUGGCAAGCAGCGUAAGGCGCGAAGAGGCCCCCCGGGCAGGGCACAAGGACGUGCCGAAGGUGACGCCCGCGGAGGCGCCAAGGACGGCGCCGCUGGCAAGCCCAGGCCGGCACAAGACAACAGUUGCCACAACUGUGGCCGGUUUGGCCAUUGGGCCAAUGAGUGUCGGCAACCACGACAAGGCCAGGCUCACGUCGCACAGGCGAAGGAGGAGGAGACGGCUCUGUUCAUGGCGCAUGCAAGCAUUGAGCUACCCUCGGCGACUCCACACAUGGUCCUUGUGGCAGUUAGGAGGAUAAAGUCCUGGACCAUCAAGGACUGGCUGUUAGGAUAG
rnacentral:rRNA from 1 species